GAUUCCAUGAAAGGAAGACUCAUCUAUGGUGGUGGAAAAAUAACCAACAUUAUUCGCAUGAAUGAUCCAUCAACCAACAAAUAAUAUACUAUUCAAUAAUUGUAGAGACAAAAUAAACAAGGGUGUGCAGAUGAAUAAAUGAAAUUGAAAUGAAUUGUGGCAUCCCUAUAUUCAUAAUUUUGAUAUAACCAUCAUUCAGGGAGUACAUAAUCAUGAAAAUAUAAUUAAUUCCUUCAAAUUGUGUAUAGAUGUGUAUGUUGCAAUCAACCAUGUGAUAAGAGAGGCAACAUAACCAAUGAUAAUUAACAUCUUCAAGUUGAUGCAGCCAUGACCUAAAGUAAAAUAAAACAAAAUUCCUUCCUAUUUUACUUUUACAACUUUCCAAGUUCAACAGCAUUACCCAUUCAAAGGAAACAUGACAUAUAUGAGGCGAAGACACUAUAUUGACUUAAAUUGACUUUAAGAAAAUGCAUUGAAGAGUUUUACAUAGAGAACAACAACAGCAAUUAAGCCUAACCCUAAACCAGUAAGGUUCAGAUAUAUUGAUAUUUUUUUGUCAUUUAGCUCUGUUAGACACCACGUCCAUAUCAAUAUCCAAAACCUGUAAAUCCAUUGAUACCCCUCUAACAUAGA
rnacentral:misc_RNA from 1 species